GAAGGGAGCUUGCUCCCGGAUGUUAGCGGCGGACGGGUGAGUAACACGUGGGUAACCUGCCUGUAAGACUGGGAUAACUCCGGGAAACCGGAGCUAAUACCGGAUAGUUCCUUGAACCGCAUGGUUCAAGGAUGAAAGACGGUUUCGGCUGUCACUUACAGAUGGACCCGCGGCGCAUUAGCUAGUUGGUGGGGUAAUGGCUCACCAAGGCGACGAUGCGUAGCCGACCUGAGAGGGUGAUCGGCCACACUGGGACUGAGACACGGCCCAGACUCCUACGGGAGGCAGCAGUAGGGAAUCUUCCACAAUGGACGAAAGUCUGAUCGAGCAACGCCGCGUGAGUGAUGAAUGNUUUCGGAUUGUAAAACUCU
rnacentral:rRNA from 1 species